rnacentral:rRNA from 1 species
GGCCCUAUGGGGCGCAGCAGGCGAGAAAACUUUGCAAUGUGCGAAAGCACGACAAGGUUAAUCCGAGUGGUUUCUGCUAAAGAAACCUUUUGUCGGUCCUAGAAACACCGAUGAAUAAGGGGUGGGCAAGUUCUGGUGUCAGCCGCCGCGGUAAAACCAGCACCUCAAGUGGUCAGGAUGAUUACUGGGCCUAAAGCAUCCGUAGCCGGCUCUGUAAGUUUUCGGUUAAAUCUGUACGCUCAACGUACAGGCUGCCGGGAAUACUGCAGAGCUAGGGAGUGGGAGAGGUAGACGGUACUCGGUAGGAAGGGGUAAAAUCCUUUGAUCUAUUGAUGACCACCUGUGGCGAAGGCGGUCUACCAGAACACGUCCGACGGUGAGGGAUGAAAGCUGGGGGAGCAAACCGGAUUAGAUACCCGGGUAGUCCCAGCUGUAAACUAUGCAAACUCAGUGAUGCAUUGGCUUGUGGCCAAUGCAGUGCUGCAGGGAAGCCGUUAAGUUUGCCGCCUGGGAAGUACGUACGCAAGUAUGAAACUUAAAGGAAUUGGCGGGGGAGCACCACAAGGGGUGAAGCCUGCGGUUCAAUUGGAGUCAACGCCAGAAAUCUUACCCGGAGAGACAGCAGAAUGAAGGUCAAGCUGAAGACUUUACCAGACAAGCUGAGAGGUGGUGCAUGGCCGUCGCCAGCUCGUGCCGUGAGAUGUCCUGUUAAGUCAGGUAACGAGCGAGAUCCCUGCCUCUAGUUGCCACCAUUACUCUCAGGAGUAGUGGGGCGAAUUAGCGGGACCGCCGCAGUUAAUGCGGAGGAAGGAAGGGGCCACGGCAGGUCAGUAUGCCCCGAAACUCUGGGGCCACACGCGGGCUGCAAUGGUAAUGACGAUGGGUUCCAAAUCCGAAAGGAGGAGGUAAUCCUCAAACAUUACCACAGUUAUGACUGAGGGCUGCAACUCGCCCUCACGAAUAUGGAAUCCCUAGUAACUGCGUGUCAUUAUCGCGCGGUGAAUACGUCCCUGCUCCUUGCACACACCGCCCGUCGUUUCAUUGAAGUGAGCUCUUAGCGAGGUGACGUCUGAUUGGCGUUAUCGAACUUGGGGUUCGUGACAAGGGAAAAGUCGUAACAAGGUAACC